rnacentral:tRNA from 1 species
UUUAGUAGCUUAUCAGAAAGCAUUAGCCUUGUAAACUAAAGAUAGAGGCUCACCCCUCUCUUAAACU